rnacentral:rRNA from 1 species
GAUGAACGCUGGCGGCGUGCCUAAUACAUGCAAGUCGAGCGAACAGACGAGGAGCUGGCUCCGCUGACGUUAGCGGCGGACGGGUGAGUAACACGUGGAUAACCUACCUAUAAGACUGGGAUAACUUCGGGAAACCGGAGCUAAUACCGGAGAAUAUAUUGAAACGCAUGGGUCAAUAGUGAAAUACGGUUUUGCGGUCACUUAUAGAUGGAUCCGCGCCGCAUUAGCUAGUUGGUAAGGUAACGGCUUACCAAGGCAACGAUGCGUAGCUGACCUGAGAGGGUGAUCGGCCACACUGGAACUGAGACACGGCCCAGACUCCUACGGGAGGCAGCAGUAGGGAAUCUUCCGCAAUGGGCGAAAGCCUGACGGAGCAACGCCGCGUGAGUGAUGAAGGUCUUCGGAUCGUAAAACUCUGUUAUUAGGGAAGAACAAAUGUGUAAGUAACUAUGCACGUCUUGACGGUACCUAAUCAGAAAGCCACGGCUAACUACGUG